GACGUAGGGUGCAAGCGUUGUCCGGAUUUAUUGGGCGUAAAGAGCGUGUAGGCGGUCAGGUAGGUCCGUUGUGAAAACUCGAGGCUCAACCUCGAGACGCCGAUGGAAACCAUCUGACUAGAGUCCGGAAGAGGAGAGUGGAAUUCCUGGUGUAGCGGUGAAAUGCGCAGAUAUCAGGAAGAACACCCGUGGCUAAGGCGGCUCUCUAGUACGGUACUGACGCUGAGACGCGAAAGCGUGGGGAGCGAACAGG
rnacentral:rRNA from 1 species